UACGUAGGGUGCAAGCGUUAAUCGGAAUUACUGGGUGUAAAGCGUGCGCAGGCGGCUUUGCAAGACAGAUGUGAAAUCCCCGGGCUCAACCUGGGAACUGCAUUUGUGACUGCAUGGCUAGAGUGCGGCAGAGGGGGAUGGAAUUCCGCGUGUAGCAGUGAAAUGCGUAGAUAUGCGGAGGAACACCGAUGGCGAAGGCAAUCCCCUGGGCCUGCACUGACGCUCAUGCACGAAAGCGUGGGGAGCAAACAGG
rnacentral:rRNA from 1 species